rnacentral:piRNA from 1 species
GCCCUGUCUUGGUUGUCAGAAACUGUGAUG